rnacentral:tRNA from 1 species
GAGGGUAUAGCUCAGUGGUGGAGCGCAUGCUUAGCAUGCACAAGGUCCUGGGUUCAAUCUCCAGUACCUCCA